UACGUAGGGUGCGAGCGUUAAUCGGAAUUACUGGGCGUAAAGCGCACGUAGGCGGCUUUCUAAGUCAGGGGUGAAAUCCUGGAGCUCAACUCCAGAACUGCCUUUGAUACUGGAGAGCUUGAGUCCGGAAGAGGUGAGUGGAACUCCGAGUGUAGAGGUGAAAUUCGUAGAUAUUCGGAAGAACACCAGUGGCGAAGGCGGCUCACUGGUCCGGUACUGACGCUGAGGUGCGAAAGCGUGGGGAGCAAACAGG
rnacentral:rRNA from 1 species